UAGGCCUGCACCCUCCUGGGUCACAUGCUUCACUGUUUCCUGCUGGAAAAUUAUUGAGUGAACAAGGUAUAUUCACAGCCACAAAGAGAGUUCAUCAGGCUGUGAAGCAUGUUUCAUCAGGGGUUUUGCUGGUGUGAGAACAAUUUUCAGAGUCCUAGUAUGUGUGAGAUGGACAAGUGACUACAUCAGAGAGGCUGUGAAAAGGCAUGUAAAAGGGAGAAAUAAGAACUAAAUAUAUCAGACCCACACUUGUCAUUUUUUUUCUUUCUUUUGGCAAGGCAGGUGGGGGGAGAAAUGUGGAUGAGGACACAAUGCACUUUUUAAGUGCCGUGUUUCUUGAAAUACAUCAAAGAGUCUGAGAGAAAGCAGAAAACUCCAAAUAGACUUCAAGAGAGUCUUUUUUUUUUCUAUUAAAAGCAUCGGCAUCUAUAAAGGAAAUAGAAGAACUGCAUUAGACCUAAAUGAUCUCAGAGAAGUGUCAGAAGAACUGACAGAGUCUUGCUCUUGGCUCACUGCAACCUCCGCCUUCCCAGUUCAAGCGAUUCUCCUGCCUCAGCCUUCCGAGUACCUGGGACUACAGGCGUCCGCCACCAUGCCCAGCUAAUUUUUGUAUUUUUAGUAGAGACAGGGUUUCAUUAUGUUGGCCAAGAUGGUCUUGAUCUCCUGACCUCGUGAUCCGCCUGCCUCAGCCUUCCAAAGUGCUGGGAUUACAGGCGUGAGCCACCGCGCCUGGCCCAAUAUUUCUAAUUUUUAGAAUACAAUUCACUGGAAAGUUUGUGUUCAAGUAAAGUCUUUUCUUCCUAAGAUUUAUUGUUAUCUAAAAAGUGUGAUAAUAGUGAUGGUACCACAAUAGUGCGAAUGUACUUAAAGCCAUGAAACUGUACACUUAAAAUGGUUAAAAUGUUAGUUUUUAUGUUAUGUGUAUUUUACAAUUAAAUUUUUAAAAAUAAAUAUGUAAAAAUAAAAAAA
rnacentral:lncRNA from 10 species